rnacentral:rRNA from 1 species
CGUUGUCGAUUACCCCCGAGUUUGGGAACCGACCCUCAAAACUAUAGACAACAUCGUUUUUCUAUAGCGAGUAGGGGUCGGGGACGCUCGAGGAAAGCGAGGAACGCCUACGACGGUCUCGAUCGGAGACGGGUCGGUUCAAAUUGGAAUGAGCUGAGACGGGGCUUCUCUAUUGUCUAUUUUAUAGCGGUAGAGUCUCACCCUCUCGAUUAAAAAGCUCCGACCCGUGCGCGGCGCAUAUACGACGCACGUCUAUCCGUCCCGUCUUGAAACACGGACCAAGGAGUCUAGCAAGUGCGCGAGUCAUAAGGGUUCACUAAACCUUAGUUGGCGCAACGAAAGUAAUGUAAAUAUAUUUUUUAUAUAUAAAUGGUGUGUUCGCCACACCUUGUUGGACCGAUCCCCUCGGAAAAGUCGUUCUUCUCGCGCAAGCGUUUUUCGAGCGACCGCUGCCGAAUAAUGAGGGGCGCAAGUCCGGAGGCCCGCCACAUUAUCCUCUCUCCCUCUUCCGACCUCCCAUUAUUUCCUUUUCGAAGGUUUUUUUGGAUUCUAUGGGGCCUGUUAGGGAAGAUGAUAGGCGGGUUCCAAGAGCGUUCGUGCUAGUACCCGAAAGAUGGUGAUCUAUGCCUGGCCAGGA